GCCACGGUGACCUAGUGGUCAUGGUGUUCGACUGAUGAUCCAGAGGUCGCGGGAUCGAAUCCCGGCCGCGGCG